GAUUUCAGAUUUUCAUGAGAAGCGACAGGAGCUCUGUAUUCUUAAUCCAAAGAAAGCCUACAAUGUGUCCAUUCUGAUGGGUCACCUGAAGAUGACCGGAGCCAAGAUGAAGGAGGCCCUGUAUCGGAUGGAUGAACACAUCUUGACUCCGGAGCUCAUUAAACAACUCCUGGCUUACUCUCCGAAUGGGACAGAGAUGGCCAGCUAUGGUGAUUUCAAGGGAGACAUUGAAGAUCUUAGCAAACCC